ACUGGGAGGCAGAAGCCCCACAUCUCAGUCCUCGCUCUGCUACUGCACCGUUGCCACCUCCGUGUCAUCUCAGACAAGUCACCUCCUCUCUCUGGGCUUCAUUUUUCCCAACUCAUAAAAUGAAGGUUAAUCCUCCAGCAUUUCCAGGACUCUGCCCAACGCGUGGUCCGGCCGAGCUGGCAAACCAACAACGACAAAAGUCACCCGGUGCCCAGCACUCCUCGCGCCCAGCAUCAAGCAAGGUGCUUCCUGUCGGCUCCUAGACAGACUCUCCAAGAAGGGGCGCCCGGGUGAACCCCAGCAAGUGGCCCUCAGUCUGCGCCAUGGUGACCGGUAAUUCCAGACCCAGCACAGUCCAUGCCAGGACGGGCUCCGUCGGGCGCUUAAAACCAGCGGUGAAGAUGCUCAAGUUCAGGUCAUUCCGGACUCCUGAUGCCGCCAGUCCCUCGAUGAGACGUGAGCGCCAUUGGCGUCCGUGGCCUCUGUUUCCGUGGCAACCCAGUAACCAUUAAUUUUCAAUUAAAGGAGACAAAAAGCUCGAUGACAGCUCCAGGUCUGCUGAAGAUGUCAAGAAUCUGUAUUAAUAUACAGCAAGAGAGCAUAAUUGUGUGUCCAUCUUCCAGAGUAGCGAAAAAUGGAGGGAUAAUUACCAGCUCGAAAGCCACUCUGUAAUUUAGUUCUUACUGUCACCACAGCCCUACACAUUAGCAUAAAUUAAAAGCAGAGUUUAUUGUUAUCAAAGUGCAUUGA